rnacentral:rRNA from 1 species
AACCUGCCUUGGAUGGGGAAUAACAGCUGGAAACAGCUGCUAAUACCGCAUAAUAUAUCUGGGCCGCAUGGCUCUGGAUAUCAAAGAUUUAUCGCUCUGAGAUGGACUCGCGUCUGAUUAGCUGGUUGGCGGGGUAACGGCCCACCAAGGCGACGAUCAGUAGCCGGACUGAGAGGUUGGCCGGCCACAUUGGGACUGAGACACGGCCCAGACUCCUACGGGAGGCAGCAG